UGCAGUCGANGAUGAACUCCAGCUUGCUGGGGGGAUUAGUGGCGAACGGGUGAGUAACACGUGAGUAACCUGCCCUUGACUCUGGGAUAAGCGCUGGAAACGGCGUCUAAUACCGGAUACGAGCUUCAGCCGCAUGGCUAGGAGUUGGAAAGAAUUUUGGUCAAGGAUGGACUCGCGGCCUAUCAGCUAGUUGGUGAGGUAAUGGCUCACCAAGGCGACGACGGGUAGCCGGCCUGAGAGGGUGACCGGCCACACUGGGACUGAGACACGGCCCAGACUCCUACGGGAGGCAGCAGUGGGGAAUAUUGCACAAUGGGCGAAAGCCUGAUGCAGCAACGCCGCGUGAGGGACGACGGCCUUCGGGUUGUAAACCUCUUUUAGUAGGGAAGAAGCGAAAGUGACGGUACCUGCAGAAAAAGCACCGGCUAACUACGUGCCAGCAGCCGCGGUAAUACGUAGGGUGCAAGCGUUGUCCGGAAUUAUUGGGCGUAAAGAGCUCGUAGGCGGUUUGUCGCGUCUGCUGUGAAAUCUGGGGGCUCAACCCCCAGCCUGCAGUGGGUACGGGCAGACUAGAGUGCGGUAGGGGAGAUUGGAAUUCCUGGUGUAGCGGUGGAAUGCGCAGAUAUCAGGAGGAACACCGAUGGCGAAGGCAGAUCUCUGGGCCGUAACUGACGCUGAGGAGCGAAAGCAUGGGGAGCGAACAGGAUUAGAUACCCUGGUAGUCCAUGCCGUAAACGUUGGGAACUAGAUGUGGGGACCAUUCCACGGUCUCCGUGUCGCAGCUAACGCAUUAAGUUCCCCGCCUGGGGAGUACGGCCGCAAGGCUAAAACUCAAAGGAAUUGACGGGGGCCCGCACAAGCGGCGGAGCAUGCGGAUUAAUUCGAUGCAACGCGAAGAACCUUACCAAGGCUUGACAUAUACCGGAAACGGCCAGAGAUGGUCGCCCCGCAAGGUCGGU
rnacentral:rRNA from 1 species